GACGAACGCUGGCGGCGUGCUUAACACAUGCAAGUCGAACGAUGAAGCCCAGCUUGCUGGGUGGAUUAGUGGCGAACGGGUGAGUAACACGUGAGUAACCUGCCCUGGACUCUGGGAUAACCCCGAGAAAUCAGAGCUAAUACCGGAUAGGACCUUUCCUCGCAUGAGGUUUGGUGGAAAGUUUUUCGGUUUGGGAUGGACUCGCGGCCUAUCAGCUUGGUGGUGAGGUAAUGGCUCACCAAGGCGUCGACGGGUAGCCGGCCUGAGAGGGUGACCGGCCACACUGGGACUGAGACACGGCCCAGACUCCUACGGGAGGCAGCAGUGGGGAAUAUUGCACAAUGGGCGCAAGCCUGAUGCAGCAACGCCGCGUGCGGGAUGACGGCCUUCGGGUUGUAAACCGCUUUUAGUAGGGAAGAAGGGCUUCGGCUUGACGGUACCUGCAGAAAAAGGACCGGCUAACUACGUGCCAGCAGCCGCGGUAAUAC
rnacentral:rRNA from 1 species